rnacentral:rRNA from 1 species
CAGCCGCCACGGGAAUACGGAGGGAGCUAGCGUUGUUCGGAAUUACUGGGCGUAAAGCGCGCGUAGGCGGUUACUCAAGUCAGAGGUGAAAGCCCGGGGCUCAACCCCGGAACUGCCUUUGAAACUAGGUGACUAGAAUCUUGGAGAGGUCAGUGGAAUUCCGAGUGUAGAGGUGAAAUUCGUAGAUACUCGGAAGAACACCAGUGGCGAAGGCGACUGACUGGACAAGUAUUGACGCUGAGGUGCGAAAGCGUGGGGAGCAAACAGGAUUAGAUACCCCCGUAGUCCCUGUCUCUUAUAC